AUUGAACGCUGGCGGCAUGCCUUACACAUGCAAGUCGAACGGCAGCACGGGAGCUUGCACCUGGUGGCGAGUGGGGGAGGGGGGAGUGAUAGAUCGGCACCUGUACUGACGUGGGGGAUAGGCAGGAGGAAGCCAGACUAAUACCACAAACGCAUAACGGAUGCAAGCGGAGGCAGGUGAUGCCUCGAGCUUGCGGGAUUGAAGAUGGCUGAUUAGCUAGUUGGAGGGGUAAAGGCCUACCAAGGCGACGAUCAGUAGCUGGUCUGAGAGGAAGAGCAGCCACACUGGGACUGAGACACGGCCCAGACUCCUACGGGAGGCAGCAGUGGGGAAUUUUGGACAAUGGGCGAAAGCCUGAUCCAGCAAUGCCGCGUGUGUGAAGAAGGCCUUCGGGUUGUAAAGCACUUUUGUCCGGAAAGAAAUCCUUGGCCCUAAUACGGUCGGGUGAUGACGGUACCGGAAGAAUAAGCACCGGCUAACUACGUG
rnacentral:rRNA from 1 species